rnacentral:misc_RNA from 1 species
UUUGUCAUCAAAAAUCCGAAGUUGAAACUAUGAUUUAAAACAGCGCUGAUAAUCCUACGUGUAUAUUUAUAUGUACUGGGUUUGGUGAUUCGGUUUAAUUCAUUAACUAUUAUUUGCCUUGAUAAACUGUAGUAGCAACAAUAUAGGAAAGCAAAAAAUCAACAGAGGAAGAAAAUUCGUUCACUUUGACCAUAUUAGUAAUUUGUCUACAAGAAAACCAAUGGAUUGGACACUUUUUCUAGGACUAUUUCUACAGAGUCUCAUUUGUACUGUCAUCGGCCAAGAUUCUAGUCAGAUGCCACCAAACAUGACCAGUAUCUUUAACGAUGAAUACUCUUUCCCUCGAGAUUCCAUAUUAACUGAUGCUUCCUUUAACUGCAAGGCAGAAAAUGGAAGGGUUAUAUAUGAGUGGAAAAAAGACGGAUAUGUGGUACUUAAUAGUCAGUUUAUUGCAGUGGACAAAUCAAUGGGAAUUCUUAAGUUUCUCAAAAUGCAAAACGAGGACUAUGGAACUUACCAAUGCUUUGCUACAAAUGAUUACGGAACAUCACUUUCAAAGCCAUUCAAAAUGAUGGAAGCAAGAUUAGGAUCUUUCCCUCCUUUUCAAACUCAAGAGAUAAAAUGUGAAGAAUUUAAGCAUUGCAAAGUAGAGUGUCGACACAAGCCAACGUGUUUGCCAGAAUCACAAUGUAAAGUGGAAUGGAAAAUUGGAGAAGGAACUAAGACCAAUGUAGAAAUAGAUAAAAGGGUUGGAGUUGAUGGAAAUGGUUUGUGACUCAGAUCAGAAAUAGAAUCUUCAAAUAAAUUUAAACUGCAUAUAU